UGGGGAAUAUUGGACAAUGGGGGCAACCCUGAUCCAGCCAUGCCGCGUGUGUGAAGAAGGCCCUCGGGUUGUAAAGCACUUUAAGCUGGGAGGAAGGCUCGAUAGUUAAUACCUAUCGGGAUUGACGUUACCAGCAGAAUAAGCACCGGCAAACUUCGUGCCAGCAGCCGCGGUAAUACGAAGGGUGCGAGCGUUAAUCGGAAUUACUGGGCGUAAAGCGCGCGUAGGUGGUUUUGUAAGCGAAAUGUGA
rnacentral:rRNA from 1 species